UUUUCAACUUUAACAUUUUUAAUAACAUAGAUAACCUUAAAAAUCAUGUAAAUUCAACUCUUCUAAAAUCAAUUCACUUUAUCAUAUUAAAUAUUUUCUUUUCAACAAAUUUUAGGUCAUUUUCAUUAUUGUAUCUUUAUUUAAAAUAGUCCGGAGAUCAUAACCUACCUGGUAAGAUAAUGUGCACACUAUCCUAAGGUUAUUACCUCAUCUCUUUAAUAGUAUUUAUUUCAUUCGUAAGUAUUGUCCGGUUCGUCAUUCUGAUCAGAUACGAAAUUGUCAACCAAUGUUGUAAUACUCUUUAAUAAUAAUUUUUGUACAUGCAUAUUCAAAUCAACUAAUUGUCUUGGUAUAAUAAAUUCAAUCCAUUUUUAUACUGUAAUAUAUAGGUUAUAGACAGGAGCGUACUAGCCUAGUACGUCAGGUGUUAGCUAGUUUGUAUAAAUUGUAUAUAGGGGUUAUAGGUAAUUUUUUUCCAUUAAACUGGUUGGUUGUACAUA